rnacentral:rRNA from 1 species
AACGAACGCUGGCGGCAGGCCUAACACAUGCAAGUCGAACGCUCCGCAAGGGGAGUGGCAGACGGGUGAGUAACGCGUGGGAACCUUCCCAGUGGUACGGAAUAGCCCAGGGAAACUUGGGGUAAUACCGGAUAAGCCCGAGAGGGGAAAGAUUUAUCGCCAUUGGAUGGGCCCGCGUCGGAUUAGCUAGUUGGUGAGGUAAAGGCUCACCAAGGCGACGAUCCGUAGCUGGUUUGAGAGAACGACCAGCCACACUGGGACUGAGACACGGCCCAGACUCCUACGGGAGGCAGCAGUGGGGAAUAUUGGACAAUGGGCGCAAGCCUGAUCCAGCCAUGCCGCGUGAGUGACGAAGGCCUUCGAGUUGUAAACUACUUUUAGUCAGGGACGAUAAUGACGGUACCUGCAGAAUAAGCUCCGGCUAACUUCGUGCCAGCAGCCGC